GACGAACGCUGGCGGCGUGCCUAAUACAUGCAAGUCGAACGCUUCUUUUCUACCGAGUGCUUGCACUCACUUGAAAAGAGGAGUGGCGGACGGGUGAGUAACACGUGGGUAACCUGCCCAUCAGAAGGGGAUAACACUUGGAAACAGGUGCUAAUACCGUAUAACAGUCGAUACCGCAUGGUGUUGAUUUGAAAGACGCUUUCGGGUGUCACUGAUGGAUGGACCCGCGGUG
rnacentral:rRNA from 1 species